rnacentral:misc_RNA from 1 species
CAGGCAAGAUUUUAAAAUAACUACUACUAGUGCCUAGCGAAUAUUACUUUUGAUAUGAUUUUACUAUUAACAAAUAAUCAAUAAAGACUUAAUUUUACUGCUGCUAUAUUUUACCAGCAAUGAGUGGAGUGCUCUUCUUCAAAAGCUUCAACAUGAGCACAGUUAAAGCCGAAAUCUCCAAUUGUAAAGAUUGCAGUCCUGCUAAGACAACAACAUGAGGUGACCUCAGGAUAAGAUUAGAGUUUCAUUUGCAAUUGCAAAGGUU